UGUCAAUUGGUUGGGCCACCCAUGGGCUAACCCAUUCCAAACAAACAUGGGUGUGUGAUGGUCAUACCCAAAUAAUUAAUGGUCCAAUUGGGUUAAAAACCCACUUUGCCCAUGGGUUAACUGGUCCAAACCAAAUGGGUGUUGGGCUGGCCCAAAAACUUAAUUUCUAGGGUUUAGAGAAUUUGAGAAAAAAUCAAUCAGAAAUAAUUUUUCCCGAUUCUUUUCUUCUCUCUCGCGAUUCUUUCUGCAACCAACGAUUUUCUCCUCCCAGAUUUCUCUUCGUCUACUGUUCUUGUGUUCAUCAAUCCAUACGAUUCUCUCUUCCCUCCCAUCGAUUCCCUUCUUCAUUUCUCUACAAUUUCAGGUAUGAUUCGAUUUUAGCUCUGAUCUCGCGAUUUCUCUACUUUCUGUGUUGUGGGUGUUGUAGGUUUUGUGGAUGAUAAUCUCGUUUCCAUUGUUUACUCUAGUUCUGAUGAUGAUGAUGAAUCGUUUAGAAUAUUGUUUUGUUUUGGGUUCAGAAAUGAUGCACACUUGAGAUUUGGUUUUUGGUUGACGUGUAUUGUAUUUCUCUUUAAAUGCAAGUUUCGUUUCUGCUCGGAGUCAUCCCUGUCUUCAUAGCAUGGAUAUACUCAGAGUUUCUGGAGUACAAGAGGUCUUCAUUGCACUCUAAAGUGUUAUUGAGUUAGACUGUAGCAAAGCAAUACUCUGCUCGGCAAAGGAUACCUCCACCUCCUGAAACUGUAGAAAAACCCUUCAGAGCCUUAAUCUUUGACAGGUAUCUACUAGCUUUAGGAACAAAACUCAGAGAAGAAUCAAGCUUUGGUGAUCUUUGUCAUGUUCUCUGGUAGAUUUAAUAUGUAUUUGCUUGUGUGUGGGAUAUUUUGGGAAAUGAAUCAGGAGGUGGAAUGGGAAAUAAUUUGAGAAUUUUGAUAAAAAUUUUGAUAAAAAUUUCAAAAGUCUGUGCGGGGUAACAUUUUGAUAAAAAUGAGGACCAUUGCUUGCUCCACUUCAGACUUUGUAUUCCAAAUCUAUAAAGUAUGUAUAGGUGUGGGAAAUCUAUAAAGUAUGUAUAGCUUGAUAGAGCUAUAAAGUUCAAGAAGGCACUAGGUAACUUGGCGGAUGCAGAAGCGAGUUAUGUGAGUUUUCCCUCAUAUUCUGAGUGGAGGAGAGCAGAAAUGAUUUGUGAGCUUCUAAGGCCAUUUUCUGAAAUUACAGAUUUGAUUUCUGGUUCUUCAUACCCAACAUCAAAUCUGUAUUUCAAUGAAGUUUGGAAAAUUGAGUGUUGGUUGAGAGCUCAUGCGAAUUUCAGUGAUCCUAUCAUUUGUGAAAUGGUGAAGUGUAUGAAGCUCAAGUUUGAUAAAUACUGGGAAGAGUACAACGAUAUCCUUGCAAUUGCUGCUGUUUUUGAUCCAAGACUGAAAUUUGCCUACUUGGAAUAUUGUUUCUCAGUUUUAGAUCAGCCUAAUUGUAAGAGAAGAUUGGCUCAUGUGCGUUCAAAGAUCUAUAAACUAUUUGGAGCUUACAAGAAAAACCAGAGAACCAGUAGUGCUGCAUGUUCACAAGUAGAAACACAAGAUGUUCCAGCCGGUUAUGGUGUAAGUUCUGUUCUGGAGUUAUUUCUGAUAAGUGUUAUUACCUUUUGAUAUCAUAUACGUGAUGAUUAAUCUGUUUUUUUCAGGGAUUCUAUGCCUUUUUUUCUCAGAAAGUUGUUGGUAGCGGAAAGUCUACUCUUGAUAUAUACUUGGAUGAGCCAUUGCUCGACAUGGCCGCUUACAAGAAACUGAAUGUGUUACAUUACUGGAGAGAACUCAGCUCGGUUCAAAGAGUUGGCAGUAAUGGCUCGAGAGGUUCUGAGUAUACCAAUAACGACAGUGGCAUCGGAAUCUUCAUUUAGUAUAGGUAGUAGAGUUCUUAACAAGUAUAGGAGCUGUCUACUACCUACUAAUGUUCAAGCUUUAGUGUGCACAAGGAACUGGUUAAAAGGAUUUCCUGAAAUUGGUAAGUGUUGGUUAUAAUUUAUUCAUAUAAUAAAUAUUAGAGCAAGAAAGUGUGCACAAGGAACUGGUUAAAAGGAUUUCCUGAAAUUGGUAAGUGUUGCUAUUGAUCAGUACUCUUGCAAGUAACUCAUUCGAGUUUGUGGGUUUAGUUUGUGGGUUUAGUAUUGAGUUAGUAUAGAAAGGAACUUGACUAACUCACACUGAUCUUGUUAUCUUUGUUCACACUGAGCUUUUAUUCUUUUGCUUGUGACAAGCCAAUUUAGUGAGUGCAAGACAGGUAUUAGAGCAAGAAAGUCAACAAUAUUUGGGGAUCAAUAUGUGCAUUUCAACAUCAGCAUCCCUACGCAAGUCUCCAUACAACACAGUUAUUUUGCUUGAAAUGUUAAUGCUUGUGUUGAUGUCUCUGCCCUUACAUACAAGUUAUGAGAAUCAUUGAAUAACUCCAAGUUGCUAUCUUUUUUCUUUCUUGCAGGCUGAAGACAAGUAAAGAAGCUGGAAGCUGGAAGCUGGAGCAAAGUGAAUCAUGAUAUCAGAGUUAUAACUUUUUUUUUACAUAAAACAGAGAGUUAUGAAAAACUAAAGUCUAUUGAAUUUAAUUUACAUCACAUUUGUAUUCAGAAAUUUUCAAUGACAUUAAAAUUGAGUUUAGAUUGAGUUUAUACAAAUUUUCUAUAAGUAUAUAA